GCCCGCUCAGAAACUACAAAUGAAUUGACGGGGGCCCGCACAAGCGGUGGAGCAUGUGGUUUAAUUCGAUGCAACGCGAAGAACCUUACCUGGUCUUGACAUCCCGGAGACCCUUAGGAAACUAGGGGGUGCUUCCAUCUGGAAGAAUCUGGAGACAGGUGCUGCAUGGCUGUCGUCAGCUCGUGUCGUGAGAUGUUGGGUUAAGUCCCGCAACGAGCGCAACCCUUGCCUUUAGUUGCCAGCAGUUCGGCUGGGCACUCUAAAGGGACUGCCGGUGUUAAACCGGAGGAAGGUGGGGAUGACGUCAAGUCCUCAUGGCCUUUAUGACCAGGGCUACACACGUACUACAAUGGCCGAUACAAAGGGCAGCGACACUGCGAGGUGAAGCCAAUCCCGUAAAAUCGGUCUCAGUCCGGAUUGGAGUCUGCAACUCGACUCCAUGAAGUUGGAAUCGCUAGUAAUCGUGGAUCAGCAUGCCACGGUGAAUACGUUCCCGGGCCUU
rnacentral:rRNA from 1 species